UACAGGGGGUGCAAACGUUGCUCGGAAUUAUUGGGCGUAAAGCGCACGUAGGCGGUUUGUUAUGUCGGAUGUGAAAGCCCUUGGCUCAACUGAGGAAGUGCAUCCGAAACUGGCAAGCUAGAGUAUGUAAGAGGGUCGCGGAAUUCCCGGUGUAGAGGUGAAAUUCGUAGAUAUCAGGAGGAACACCGGUGGCGAAGGCGGCGACCUGGGACAAUACUGACGCUGAGGUGCGAAAGCGUGGGGAGCAAACAGG
rnacentral:rRNA from 1 species